AGCCCAGAGAGGAACGGAAGGCGACUGUUUGCAGGAGGAGGUUCUGCACCAGCUCAGGGCUCAGCUACUCCGGGGUUACGCCCUUUUUUUUUUAAGGGGCUCGGACCCAAACGAAGGGAUGGGUCUCUACCGCGGAAAACCGGUGUGUUUUGUACAGGUAGUGCUCGCCUUAGGACCACAAUAGACCCCAAAAUUUCCGUGGUUAAGGAAGACGUUUGUUUAGUGAGUCUUGCCUCGUUUUCUUGCCACAGUUGUUAAGUGAAUCAGUGCAGUGGAUAGAAAUUUAGUAACCCGGUUGUUAAGUGAAUCUGGCUUCUGAAUUGACUUUGCUUGUGAGAAGGUUGCAAAAGGGACACAUGACCCCAGGACACAGCAACAGUCGUAAGUAUGAAUCAGUUCCCAAGCCUCUGAAUUUUGAUCGCAUGGUCAUGGGGAUGCUUCAAAGGUCGCAACUGAAAAAUGGUCAUAAGUCACUUUUUCCAGUGCCGUUGUAACUUUGAACGGUCACUAAAUGAACUAUUGUAAUUCGAGGGCUACCUGUAAUCUUCUAAAUUCGCAAUUAAAUAGAAAACAAGAAAGAUUUUUUUCAACAAAACGCCAUAAACGAAUAUUCCUGCUUGAAUUUCAGUGUUUAUAGGACUAUCUGUAUGAGUCUCUUCAUUCAGGGAGCCUUCGUUUUUCAUAUUCUCAUGCUGCAGUUAUGAGCGCAUCAGGCCAUGAGCCAAAAGCAGUUGGCCAGAUUAUUAUUGUGGAUCAAACAAUAUGCUCUGGGUGCCUUUCCCGUACUACACAGGCUGAACUACAAAUUAGCAAAACCGUAGUUUAGCCUGGCGCAGGAAUUCCCAAGUUUUGCCAUCGUAACUGAUCAAUUUGUGCAAACCUCCCAUGACUGUGCUUAGGGUUGGACAAAGUGUGAAAUACUGUUAUACCACUACUUUUCUAAUACAGGUAGUCCUUGACUUAUGACCACAAUUUGAGGCCAAAAUUUCUUUUGCUAAGCAAAGCAGUUGUUACGUGAGUCGUGCCUCAUUUUACAACAUUUUUGCCACAGUUGUUAAGCGAAUCACUGCAGUUGUUAGGUGAAUCUGGCUUCCCUCCUUGAUUUGGCUUGUCAAAAGCUGGCUGGGAAGGUUACAAAUGCUGAUCGUGUGACUCUGGGACAGUGCAACUGCCACAAAUACAUGCCAGCUGCCAAGCCCCUGGAUUUUGAUCACUUGACCAUGGGGAUGCUGCAACGAUUGUGUGAAAACCAGUCAUAAGCCUGCUUUUUCAGUAUCAUUGUAACUUCAGUCACUAAACGAAUGCUUAUAAGCCCAAGACUAUCCGGCAUACACACACACAUAUCAAAUAAUAGGAGCACCUCAUUGUGUUAUAAAACAAAUACAGCAUGCUAAUAUGUUCCUUAUAUGCAUAGAUAUACUGUGUAAUGCCUCAAUUCAAAAUUCAAUCUUUUGUAUUUACACCCCACUGUUGAUGUAGGUAAAUCACGGGAUUUGUAUUGGAACACCACAAUGUAUGACUCAACAUAAUGACAGAUUUUAGUAGAUACUUUCAUACAAUUGCUGGUAUAGAUAAGCAAGUAUAAAAGUUAAUUUCAAACUAAUGUUCUAGAACAUGAUCACUUAAAAAGUAUAGUACUGUUAGUGGUUCAUAAAAAACGGAAACAUGUAGAACCUGAUUUGUAUGUAAGCUUGACUAUUGUUGAUGCCUCCAUGCUCAACCAACAUGCUUAAGGCAAAAUUAAAAAAAAAAGUUUUGUAACCAACUCUAAAUCCCCAGGAAAACACAAUACCGAGUAUGAGAACCUCUCACUGGUGUUAUGUAAACCCAGGCCUGUAUGACUAGUUUACAAUUUAGUGUAGACUAUAAAUCAAGAACAUUAGCUUGAGAAAGCCAUGGUCUAUAUUAGGGUUUUUUUCUUUUUGGAAAUGAAUUCUGAGAAUUGAAGAGUUUCCAUGGAAGAUUAAUGGCCAAUAAAAACUUCACACAAAUGCAUUCGAUUUUUAUCACUAGAGUUCUUAUUCUUGGACAGAAGUUCUGGGAGGGUUUUUGUUUUUUUUAAGAACAGGAUCUGAAGCCUGAAAAAGUUUGAAAACUGGUCUAGGUGUCCAUGGACUCAGCCACUGUGAAGCCUACUGUAGGAGUGUGCCAUAUAGAAAUGAGAAACGUAAAACUGCUCUAAGAUAAGAAGACUAAAUCUGCAACUUAAUUUUUGCCUCAGAUCUAAAUUUGUUUUCUUCGAAGUUAAGCCUAUUCAUUUGGGUGCAUUGUAAGUCUUCUUAAUAGACAUACAUUAUAUGGAACGGGAAGACUAUCUUUUCCAUCACCUCCAUACACCGCACUUUUUAUCUUUGUGAUUGACACUGAAUCUACUUUGACUACUUAUUCUUCUUCCUGGCAUGAAUUUUACUUAUGCUGGUAACUAGACCCACCCCAUGCCUUGGUCCCUAAUGCAUUCCCUUCUCCUCGAAGUUCUCCACAUUUGGCUACCCUUCAGGCUACUGAGGAAUGGCUUUCUUUCCCUCAGGAGCCUAGACAGCAAAAUGGGUCACCAUGAUUUCCUACUUAACAAAGGGAUGGAUCUGAAUCUUAAACAGACUACAGUCUCUUUUCCCAUAUACAAAAGCCUCUCCUUUGUUUUUAUCUUGGUAAACCACACACUCUGCAUAGUGUGCUUGUUAAACAAGCAAGGGGAGAUGCCAGGAUGUAUUUACUUUUUGAGAUUUGCAGAGUAUUAACAGUAUUUUCACAGAAUUGCUGAAAAACCAAUUGCCUUUUGUUUUUCUUUUCUCACGGAAUCUCUGCCUCCAAACUACAGCUUGUGAGAAGGCACCAAGCCCUAAUUUCAGAACCAGAAUUCUUAGGGUUUAGCCCUGCAACUAAUGAAGGGUUCACUGAAUAUGUGGAAACUGUUAUAUCUUCACUACCAUAAAGAAAUGGGAUAGAAAAGUCAACUUCCCUGAAAAGCAAGGCCCAGCCAGAAAGUGCUAAAUUAACACAUCCAUUACUGUGACUUCUUGCCUGAUUACUAUAAUUAGUUAAUAUGAGAUGCCUAACUUCUCACAAACCCAUACUACAAGUUUAUGAUUCUAAUAUUAGAAUAGACUAGAUAUCGGGAGAAAUGAAACAAUAAUUUCAUUCUGUGUUCCUCAUGAGUAUUCCAUUUGAAGAGGAAUACAGGGAAAAAAGCUAAACAGAACCAGAAGUAAAGUUAAUUUUAGAUUCUUUAUCCUGGAGGCCAUGGAUUUCUAUUCCAACAUCUUAUUGUGAUGGCAUCUCUUAACAGUGUUUCUACUGAAUCUCCUAGAUGAUCCAUACAAGAGUUAUUUUUUAAGCAGAAACUAUGCUAUGGACCAAAGAAAUGUCAGACCAAAUUGUUCCAAGUCACAGAACAAAUAGCUUCUGAACAACACCAAUGUUAAGGAUUAUAUGACUCUAACACAAUGAAUGUACUUAGUAAUAUAGUACUAGCAAAUAUGUUAAGGAACUACGCAAUCCUCCUUCCUUUUCUUUAAAAAAAGAGUUUUUUAUUUAUCCUCCUUCCUUAUAACCUAUGGAAUGGCUCUUUAGCCGUUUCAGGUUACAUCAAGCAUUUGUCAAAAAAGAUUACAUUUGCUAUGUUGUUUGAUACAUAUAUAGUGCUAACAUUUUGAGGACUGUUAUUGUCUCAUCUGCGAAAUCCACGAAGACUUCCAUUUAAAGAAAUAAUGCAUUAACAGUCAAAUCCUUGACAUUCAUUCAUUACUGCCAAAUUAAUCAGUGAUAAUAGUAGCUCUCCAUACCUUAUAUAUUUAAACAUAUUUUAAAUGAUACUUUAAAAAUGGGGAGGACUGUUUCACAAGGGGUGGAAAAGUAAUAUUGUUGCAAUAUAUUUAUUGAUAUUCUCGCCUGGGGGGAUAAUACUUGUAUAAUGUGUUUGUAUCUUUUUUAAUGCACUUCUAAAUUUUCUUUGUUUGUCUUUUCCUGUAGAAUUUUUUCCUUGGAGUUUUGUAUUUUAACAUUUUUUUUGUAAUAAAAUAAAAAUUAUUUGAGGAAAAAAUGAUAUAUGUACUAUGGACCCCCGAACAUUUAAUUCAUACGAAUAAUGAAAAAAAAGAGUAUUGAGCAAUGUGACCAACUCAACACAGUGUUGCGGGAAAAUCUGAUACAAGAAUCUGGGACUAAGGGUAGUCCUCAACUUAUGACCAGUCACUUAGUGAAAGUUCAAAGUUACAAUGGACCCACAAAACCUACUUACAACACAUUUGUGAAGUUAUGAUGGCUGCAUAAACACACCCCUGCAGUCACAUGACUGUGAUUUGAGCGCUUGGCAACUGGCUCACCUUUAUGGCCAUUUGCAACAUCCCGCGGUCACAACUGAAAUUUGUGAUGGUUUUUGCAUGUUGUUGGGGUUUUUUGCUAGUUUCCAGUUUUUAUUUCUAGUUUACAGAAAAAAUAUACCCAUUGGGGAAAACUGAUUUACUUAAUGAUCAUGGCAUUUGCUUAACAACUAUCCCUACCCAUCCAAUUUUGGAAAAUUGGGUCCUGUCGUGUGAUGCCUCAAAUUACAACUGCAGUGACUUAUGACUGUAAUUCCAGGCUCAAUUACCGUUGUACAUUGAGGAAUACCUUUAAAGAGCUUCCUUGAGAAACAGCAGUGAAGGUCUUCCUGGAAAUAAAAAGAAAAUCCAAAGCGUAAGCCAAUCAGGUAACUACAGUUCUGUACAGUGCCAUUAAAUUCAUUGACCUUUGGAAACGGGACAAUGGAAUGAGGACUGUUACUGUACAAGCAGGAAAGGAACCAGAUCAGAAUCAUAAAGCUGAAUGGAACCAUUUGAGCCAGGGAGUUCCCACUUGCUGCAGAAAUCCAUUUACAGCAUGUCCAAUAAAUGGUUUUCUGGUGCCCACUGGAAUAUAUCUAGUAAAGGGGAAAGUACCCUAAAAGUAAGGACUAUGUUAGUUUCUUAUUAAAUCAACAUUUGUCUUUCUGUAAUAAGAAACCAUAAUUUAGUGUCCUGACUCUGGACUAGUGGAAAAUAGAUCUUGAUCUUCUCAAUGACAUUCUUGCAGGUAAAGAAUGGAAUGGAAUGCACUAGAAGAAAAGAGUUGGAAGGAACCUUGGAGAUCUUCUAGUCCAGGGGUGUCAAACUCACAUUAUCACAGGGGUGUCAUGUGACGUAUUGGGACCUUCUCCCACUCGCUAAAAUUGGUGUUAGCGUGGCCAGUGCGUGACGCAUCUAGUCCACGGGCUGGGAGUUUGAUAGCCCUGUUCUAGUCCAACGCCCUGUUUACUUGAAGAGGGCUAUCACAUAUCUCCUUAAUCUUCUCAAGGCUGACCAUUCCCAAUUCCCUUUUUCUCCCUUCAGAGGAAUUACUCUUCUUUGACUUUGUUAUGCUUGGUCUGAAUUCUUCUUAAAGUGUAGUCCUAUCUAUGAACCCAAUACCUAAGGUGGAAUUAUUAUAACUUAUGUUUUGCAAAGUAUAUUUGUUAAUACAGAUUGCUGUACAUCUUUUGUAUUUUUGUUAGCCACAUCAUACUGCUGAUGCAUAUUCAAUUUGCAAUCAGUUAUUAUUGCAAGUUGUUUCACAAGCAUUAUUGAACAAAGCAAGUCUCCCUCAUCCUGUACAAUUGAAUUCUGAUUUCUUUUGAAGAACUCCCAAUACAUUUAUCAUAUAGUAAGUCUUCUACUCUGUAUGACAUCAUCAAAUUGAAGGUUAGCACAGGCAUCCAUCAUCACUGUACCAAAAAAAGCCCAACAGCAAGAACAAUCAACUCUGUUCUAAAAAUAUUGUAGUCCUGCUUCGCCUUUUGUUCUAUGGAAACCUGUUUUGUUGUUGAUUAUUUUUACAGCAGAUUUUUUUUGGUAGAGCCUGGGCUCUUUCAGGAGAAAAACACAGUAUAAAAUAAAAAUUGAGUAUUAAUAACAAAUAACACAACAGAAGCUAACACUCCUGUUUCUAUUUUCUUCCAUCUGGCAUUUUGUUCCAUCAGGCUUAAAAUAUUAUAUGUGUGUAUAUUCAUUAAUCUAACCCGAUAAUAAAAUAGGAUUUUAUUGAUUAUGCUUGAUUAGAAAUAAUCAAGUUAUUUCUAAUAGUUCUCAUCAAUAAAAGAGAGUUAUUUGUUAUGUAAUUUUGAAUUCUGGCUAUUUAAACUUCAUAAGUAAAAACAGACACACUUCCACAAAAGAUUGCUAUAAUUACUGUCCCCUUCACGACCCCCCCUCCCAGUUUUCAUAAAUUUCUCAAAUUUCUUAAGAGAGGUCUCCUAACAAAAAUAAAAUGGAAACGAGGAGUCAUAGAACUUUUCAGCAGAAAGCAACUGCCUACAUUCUUCCAAACAGAGCUGAACAACGAUAUUUCCUUUAGGUGCCUCCCAAUCCACUAGCAUGCUGUAGCAAGUGUAAGAUGAGGCUGAGAAAAUUAUCAAAGACUGUGCCAAGGUCAUCUAGAAAACCAGCCUCUGCGUUUUCCUUGCAGUCUGGAGCCUUUCAAGAGCUAACAGUGGCAAAUUCUUCAUUGUUAUUGUUGUUGAAGUCUCUAAGGUUUUUUUUUUUUAAUGGCUGUUAACCGCC